UACACUCCUGCGGGAGGCAGCAGUGGGGAAUAUUGCACAAUGGGCGCAAGCCUGAUGCAGCCAUGCCGCGUGUAUGAAGAAGGCCUUCGGGUUGUAAAGUACUUUCAGCGGGGAGGAAGGCGAUAAGGUUAAUAACCUUGUUGAUUGACGUUGCCCGCAGAAGAAGCACCGGCUAACUCCGUGCCAGCAGCCGCGGUAAUACGGAGGGUGCAAGCGUUAAUCGGAAUUACUGGGCGUAAAGCGCACGCAGGCGGUCUGUCAAGUCGGAUGUGAAAUCCCCGGGCUCAACCUGGGAACUGCAUUCGAAACUGGCAGGCUAGAGUCUUGUAGAGGGGGGUAGAAUUCCAGGUGUAGCGGUGAAAUGCGUAGAGAUCUGGAGGAAUACCGGUGGCGAAGGCGGCCCCCUGGACAAAGACUGACGCUCAGGUGCGAAAGCGUGGGGAGCAAACAGGAUUAGAUACCCCUGUAGUCCCA
rnacentral:rRNA from 1 species